AUUUUUAUUAUUUUUUGUUCUAAUAGUAUAGGUCCUUGUUUGCUUUUUUUCCCUCUUUUCUUUUCGUUGGUCUUUUCUUUUUUUUUUGAUUAUCGUUAUAAUUAUUAUUUUUUUUCUUUUUUUGGAAGGAUUAACUCGUCCCUAAAAAGGCAAACAAAUUUAUUACAUCGUCGCAUUAUUAAGAGCCCGUUAUAUCGAUCGUAAUAAUUUUUUAGCUUGUUUGUUACACUCUUUUUUUUUUGCUUUCUUUUUUUUUUUUGGAAAAAAAAAAUAAUAAAAAAAAGAAUACGGACACAUACACACACAGACACAUACGCACAGAGAGACACAGACGCACGCACAUAGACAGACACACAUGAUCUAUUUCUUACGACGUUAAUGAUAAGGCUCGACUUAACGUGUGCUUUUACUUUGCUAAUAAAACAAACUUUCGGAAAAAACAUAGUGCGCCAUGAUGAUUAGAAUGACAAUGAUGACGAUGAUAAUGAUAAUGAUAAAGAAGAAAGAAUAAUAGAGGGAAUGAGAAAUGCUUGUGCAUGAUAUAGCAAAAGUGAAAACAAUAAAAAAAGGUAGCUUAGUUUCUACAAGAAAGUUUCUAUCGAUCGAUUAGACGACCAACGACGAAUACAUUCGUCAUAUUUUAACAAUGUGAUGCUCUAAUGGCGACGGUGAUAUUGGGGGGUGGGGGUUGGAGAACGUAGGAAAUAUACUACGUACCUACAUAAGCCAAAAAAAAAAAAAAGAAAAAGAAGAGAAAUAUAUAACGCGAACGAGACAAUCGUGAAUCGUUGAAACGUUUAAAUUGGCCGAGACAUAAUUAUCGAAAUUUCUAAAAAUUCAUUUGGUUAUCUCGUUCGACGAAUAACCUAAAAAUCUAAAAUAGAAGGUAGAUGAAAUGCGUUAUGGUUUAUCAUUUUAUCUAUUGAUACCGAUUGAUUGACUGAUUGAUUGAUUGAUUGAUAAUAAUUAUGUGGAGGAAAACGAUAACACAUAUAUAAUAUUGAUAUAUUCUAUGGAAUAAAUGCAGAUAUAUAUAUAAAAGCGUGCGAAAGAUUGAUCGUUAAUAAAGAAGUAGUAGAAGAAGAAGAAGAAGAAGAAGAAGAGAAAGAAGAAGAAGAGAAAGAAGAAGAAGAAGAAGAAGAGGAAGAAGAAGAAGAAGAUUAGUAAAAAGAAUAAGAAUAACAAGUGCCAGGUGACACCUAAGGAAGCAUGAUCAAAAGGUCUGAAAACCUUCUGAUAGUGAGUGUAGAGGGUUGGUAAGAGCUGGAAUGCCCAAGAAGGUGCAGCUUGGAUCGUCUGUGAGCUCUGAUAGGUCGAUAAUCCAGCAACGUUUUCGGUUCCAACGACGUUGAGACCAGCAACGUUGUUAGCGUUGCUGUUGAUACUGCUGCUGCUGCUGCUGCUGCUUUUGCUGCUGCUGCUGCUGCUGCUGCUGCUGCUGCUGCUGCUGCUGCUGCUACUGCUGCUGCUGCUACUGCUGCUCAGAACAUUCUGCAGGCCUGGUGACUCGUGCUUCUUUAAUCCACGUAGAAGUUCCUUUUGUAAGGCGCCGUUUACGCCAAGGAACUAACGGAUCGGGCGUGCGUGAAACAUCGACACAGAUACCUUUCACAAUGAAGUGAAAAAGAAAGAGAAAGACAGAGAGAGAGAGAGAGAGAGAGAGAUAGAUAGAUAGAUAGAUAGAUAGAGAGAGAGAGAGAGAGAGAGAGAGAGAGAGAGAGAGAGAGAGACAGAGAGAGACAGAGAUUAAGGAGAGAUAAGGAUACGUCAAGAGUGUGAAGAACGAAGACGAGAUUUUUCGGGGUGAAUAUCUUUUUGUGCUGUGACAGUGUAAACACAUUCCGAGCAAGAUUGCAAACUUCUGUUCAUUUUAAUCGGCAGGCUCGCUCGUUAUACUGCGUGAUCGAAAGUUAUCGAACGAUACUUGUUACGUAUGUUUUUAUCGCUUUUUUAAUUUCUUUUUUCUUCUUCUUUUUUUGUAAAGAUAUAUUCAAAUAUAUAUAUAUAUAUAUAUAUAUAUAUAUAUAUAUAUAUAUGUAUGUAUGUAUGUACGUAUGUAUGUAUGUAUGUAUGAUAACAAAUGAUAAGUUAAUAAGUGGUAUUAUUAAGUAUAAGUGGUAACAAGUAUCGUAGUUACGUGUAAAGUGAAUGUACAAUGUCGUAAGAACAUAAACAACAAAAGAGACACGGACAGUUCAGCGAUGAACGUGAAAUAUGUGUUAUGGCGAAAAGAAAUCCUGUAAAGUAACAACGGAAGAAAGAUCCGAGGCUUGUUUCUGUUUA